rnacentral:rRNA from 1 species
AACGAACGCUGGCGGCAUGCCUAACACAUGCAAGUCGAACGAGAUCUUCGGAUCUAGUGGUGCACGGGUGCGUAACGCGUGGGAAUCUGCCCCUUGCUUCGGAAUAACAGUGAGAAAUUACUGCUAAUACCGGAUGAUGUCUCCGGACCAAAGAUUUAUCGGCAAGGGAUGAGCCCGCGUAGGAUUAGGUAGUUGGUGGGGUAAUGGCCUACCAAGCCGACGAUCCUUAGCUGGUCUGAGAGGAUGAUCAGCCACACUGGGACUGAGACACGGCCCAGACUCCUACGGGAGGCAGCAGUGGGGAAUAUUGGACAAUGGGCGAAAGCCUGAUCCAGCAAUGCCGCGUGAGUGAUGAAGGCCUUAGGGUUGUAAAGCUCUUUUACCAGGGAUGAUAAUGACAGUACCUGGAGAAUAAGCUCCGGCUAACUCCGUG